UGUGUACUCCCUCCAUUCCAAAAUACUUGACUUCCAUUUGUCCAAAAAUGGAUGUACCUAUAUACUAAGACAUGUCUAGAUACAUAUAUAUUUUGACAAAUAGAAGGCAUGUAUUAUGCAAGGGAGGGAGUAGAAU
rfam:Triticum aestivum genome assembly, contig: Triticum_aestivum_CS42_TGACv1_scaffold_117892_2AS